CCUACGGGAGGCAGCAGUGAGGAAUAUUGGUCAAUGGACGCAAGUCUGAACCAGCCAUGCCGCGUGCAGGAUGACGGCUCUAUGAGUUGUAAACUGCUUUUGUAAGAGGGUAAACGCAGAUACGUGUCCCUGUUUGAAAGUACCGUACGAAUAAGGAUCGGCUAACUCCGUGCCAGCAGCCGCGGUAAUACGGAGGAUUCGAGCGUUAUCCGGAUUUAUUGGGUUUAAAGGGUGCGUAGGCGGGCGUGUAAGUUAGCGGUGAAAGCCCGUGGCUCAACCUUGGAAUUGCCUUUGAUACUGGUCGGCUAGAGAAUAUUUGAGGUAGGCGGAAUGUAUGGUGUAGCGGUGAAAUGCUUAGAGAUCAUACAGAACCCCGAUUGCGAAGGCAGCUUACCAAGCUACGACUGACGUUGAGGCACGAAAGCGUGGGGAGCAAACAGGAUUAGAUACCCGAGUAGUC
rnacentral:rRNA from 1 species